rnacentral:rRNA from 1 species
UGAGGAAUAUUGGACAAUGGGUGAGAGCCUGAUCCAGCCAUCCCGCGUGCAGGAAGACGGCCCUAUGGGUUGUAAACUGCUUUUAUACAGGAAUAAACCACCUUACGAGUAGGGUGUUGAAGGUACUGUAUGAAUAAGCACCGGCUAACUCCGUGCCAGCAGCCGCGGUAAUACGGAGGGUGCAAGCGUUAUCCGGAUUUAUUGGGUUUAAAGGGUCCGCAGGCGGACUAGUAAGUCAGAGGUGAAAGCCGGCAGCUCAACUGUCGAACUGCCUUUGAAACUGCAAGUCUUGAGUGAAAUUGAAGUAGCUGGAAUGAGUAGUGUAGCGGUGAAAUGCAUAGAUAUUACUCAGAACACCAAUAGCGAAGGCAGGUUACUAAAUUUUAACUGACGCUGAGGGACGAAAGCGUGGGGAGCGAACAGG